CUUUACUGUAGCCUGGUAUUGGGUUCGGGCUUUGACUGCGCAGGAUAGGUGGGAGACUAUGAAGCUGCCCUUGUGGGGGCAGUGGAGUCAUCAGUGAGAUACCACUCUGUCAAGGCUAGAAUUCUAACCGAAAGCCGUUAUCCGGCUUUGGGACAGUUUCAGGCGGGCAGUUUGACUGGGGCGGUCGCCUCCUAAAUGGUAACGGAGGCGCGCAAAGGUUCCCUCAGGCUGGUUGGAAAUCAGCCGAAGAGUGUAAAGGCAGAAGGGAGCUUGACUGCAAGAGCAACAACUCAAGCAGGGACGAAAGUCGGCCUUAGUGAUCCGACGGCGCUGAGUGGAAGGGCCGUCGCUCAACGGAUAAAAGUUA
rnacentral:rRNA from 1 species